GACGAACGCUGGCGGCGUGCUUAACACAUGCAAGUCGAACGGAAAGGCCCUGCUUUUGUGGGCUGCUCGAGUGGCGAACGGGUGAGUAACACGUGAGUAACCUGCCCUUGACUUUGGGAUAACUUCAGGAAACUGAGGCUAAUACCGGAUAGGAGCUCCUGCUGCAUGGUGGGGGUUGGAAAGUUUCGGUGGUUGGGGAUGGACUCGCGGCUUAUCAGCUUGGUGGUGGGGUAGUGGCAUACCAAGGCUUUGACGCGUAGCCGGGCUGGGAGGGUGAGCGGCCACGUUGGGACUGGGAUACGGCCCAGACUCCUACGGGAGGGAGGAGUGGGGAAUGUUGUACAAUGGGCGGAAGGCUGGUGCAGCAACGCCGCGUGGGGGGAGACGGGCUUCGGGUUGGAAAGCGCUUUCCCCUGUGACGAAGCGUGAGUGACGGUAAUGGGUAAAGAAGCACCGGCUAACUACGUG
rnacentral:rRNA from 1 species